rnacentral:piRNA from 1 species
CCUACUGAGAAGCAGCCAAGGAGAGAGC